GCGGGACCGGCCGGAGCUGGGACCCCAGGAGACGAGCGCUGCACCCGGCCGGGACGCGUCGCCCCUCCGCGCCUGUUUAUCCCGGCUCGGAUUACCGCGCAGGGAGCCGCCCCCUCCCGCGGUCCGCGAGGACUGGCCGGGAGCUCGCUCGCCAUUGUCCUGGGCGUCCCAAAGCGGGCGGUCCCCGCUCCGCUGCUCCCGCGCCUGGAGGAAGCCUUCCCAACCCCGCCCCUCAGCGUCGGCCGGCGGAGGUCUUCGGAAAUCUCAUGCAGGGGGGUAGGGAGAGGGGUCCCACGGUGCAUUCGCAUGUCUCCUGCCCCGUGUUAAUGCUGGUGACCGGCUAGGAAGAUGCCGCCUCCCUCUCACGUGCGUCUAUUCAAAGCGCUCCCAACUCUAUACAUGCUGUUUAAGGCUCCUUGUAGCCCUAAAGUUAGGAGAACAUCGACUGAGGAUAAGAUCAAGACAUCCAGCCUCUGUCUGUAUCGUGGAAACGGGACCCCGGAAACUUUGGAAAGGCCUGAGUGCCAAGAGAGUCAACGCAGGCGAAAGCGAACCGGGCCAGGCAGAACCGGGAGCUCCUGUUGAUAAAAACACACACAACAGUGGGAAGCUUGGGCCGGCGGAAGACGUCAUUCCAUUGCUUAAUUACAGACAUUUGUGUUUUAAACCUUCUAUUUUCUUUGUGGGUCUGGUGUUUUUUUUCCUGAGAGAGUGGACUGAU
rnacentral:lncRNA from 1 species